CAGACUGUGGACUUGUUUGAGAUGAUUGAAAAAAUGCAGGGGAGUCGUCUGGAUGAACAAAGAUGUUCCCUUCCAGCUCCUCUCAAGACAGAAGAAGAGUAUAUUCCUUACCCCAGCAUCCAUGAGGUAUUACAGAAAGGGUGGCCAUAUCCUCUCAUUAUCUUACCCCAGUUUGGGGGCUACUGGAUUGAAGGGACAAGCCACAACCUCUCCAGUCCAACUCUGUCUGAUGUACCCUUUCCCUGGAGUGUUAAAGUGAAACUGGAGAGUGACCCCACAGCCAAGCUGUACCGCAAGCAUUUCCUAGGGAAGGAGCACCAGAACUUUUAUUCCAGUGAUGUGUCCUUGGGCUACUUGAUACUUUCUGUGAAGUAUGAACAGUCUGAGAAACAGGAAAAUCUACGCUUGUUGCUGAGGACACGAACUGGUACCAAACAUGAUCUGAUCCCUAUUUCCUGUCUGAAUGAGUUUCCCAAUGCUGUCCAGAUGGCAAAGCUACUGUGUGAAGAUGUGAAUGUUGAACGCUUCUUUCCUGUCCUCUAUCCCAAGGCUUCACAGCUUAUUGUAGCAUUUGAUGAACAUGUUAUAAGCAAUAACUUCAAAUUUGGGGUAAUCUACCAGAAACCUGGACAGACAACUGAAGAAGAAGUCUUCAGUAACACAGAAGAGAGUCUGGGUUUCCUGGAGUUCUUAGAUUUCCUUGGUGACAAGAUUCAGCUGCAGGAUUUCCGUGGGUUCCGGGGAGGUUUGGAUGUCAUUAGAGGUCAAACAGGCACCGAAUCAGUUUAUACAAAUUUCCGGGGCAAAGAGAUCAUGUUUCAUGUAUCUACAAAACUGCCCUUCGCAGAAGGAGAUUCCCAACAGCUUCAGCGGAAGCGUCACAUUGGGAAUGACAUUGUAGCCAUCAUCUUCCAGGAUGAAAGCACACCUUUUGUGCCUGAUAUGAUUGCUUCUAAUUUCCUACAUGCAUACGUGGUAGUUCAGCUCACUCACAGCAGUUGUGGGGAGACCCUCUACAAGGUUUCAGUCACAGCACGAGACGAUGUGCCCUUCUUUGGACCUUCUUUACCAAAUCCAGCCAUAUUUAGAAAGAGUACAGAGUUUCGUGAAUUCCUUCUGGUCAAGCUCAUCAAUGCUGAAUACAGCUGCUAUCGAGCUGAAAAAUUUGCUAAAUUAAAGGAGAGAACCCGAAGUGCCCUCUUAGAGAGCCUUUUUGAGGAGCUGCAGCUUCGCAGCCGCUGUAUGAUGGGAUUGCCCAUAGAAGAAGAUGACAAGACAGAGAACGGCAGUGGGGGCUUCUUUGAGAAUUUCAAGAGACAUUGCAGAGAGGAUACAGAAGAUGGUAGACAGUCCAGAAACCUUGCUUGACCUGAAAUCUGAUGGAUCAUCCAGUCCCAGCUCCCCAGAGUUCCCCAGCAGGAAGAGCAAGUAGCCUUCUGAAUAAUCCUUUCUCCCGAGGACAUGGUGAAAGAAUGAACCCAGCCUAAGUAACAAGGUAGCAAACUCCCCAGGAUCGGGAUUCUUUCCAAGUUUCAUCUGAAAAUCAAGCACUGUACUGUGUAUGUCCAAAUCCUAGGAAAAGUACACAGGUUUUGUGUGCAUAUGUUUUCCCUCAUCAGACGCAUCUGAGUGGGGACAUCAAGCCAAUUAGGAGUGGACCGGGUGCUACUAAUUGUUUACCUCACUGAAGAUACUGGCAAGACUUUUGGGGUGAAAUGAGAGUACUGGCUAAGACGAGCAUGAACUUAAAGGACCUCAAGGACUGUGGAAAGACCAAGUGACAUCACAUAAUGCCCAACUGGCAGUCCCUGGAGCAGGAAUUAUGAAGAGGAAGAAGGACAGAGAGAUUAUUUUGGAGCAUUUUGAUUCUAGGCUCUUCCCACUGUCCAAUCAGCAGUGACUGAACCAGACUCUAUAAAUGCUGGGGGAAAGGAGGCUACCUUGAGCACCUCCUCUUCCCUUAGACUUAUUCAGAAAGAGAAUUAAUUCAAAAGCAAAAGAACACAUUUCCACCUCUGUCUUUAGUAAGCACUGGUGAGGCCAUACUGUAUAAGCAAAGAAAGAGGAUGAAGACGUUUGCUGAGGAGGGGUGCUAAGAAGGUGAUACUUAGUGGAAAUUUAGGUCCCAGCUCAUUUUAUUGAUUGGCUCUGCCAAGGGAGAAAUAUGUUAGCUUUCAUUUCCUCCAAAAUAUAUUUUGUAACCUCUUGAGGAAAUAUCUUUGGCCUAUAUUGGCCUUGCCUUUACUGUUCUCCUUAUUGCAUGCUGGCAUGUAAUAUGCCUGGGGCUUUAGGUUUCAAUACUGCUUGUAGGUCGAGACCGGCCAUGUUUUGCAGUGUUUCUGAAUGAAUAAAUAUAUUUAAUAUAUUGAAGUUGUCUUCUCUUUAUUGCCUCUUUUAGCUUUUUGAGUUACUCAUCAUAUUUCAGCACUUCCUCUCUAUGGUGAGUAUUUCACCAUAAGUGUUACACACAUAAUACAUUUCACAGCAUAUAAGCAUGUGAGAUUCAUGAGCUACUCUCUACUAGAAAGUGACAAGUAGUGGUUCCCAAAUUGUAAGCUAGGAGAAGCUGACGUUAAAGGUCUUGCAUUGACAGAUAUGAAACAUGCUCCAGGCUACCUUAAUACGCAAAAUAUUUAAGAGAGCUGCGAUCAUUAGAUCCAAUUUGUCAUAUAUAAUGCCUUGAAUAUUCCCUUCAUAACAACCAUACAGAAGCUAAAAAUCUAGUGGAGUGGAUCUACAGGAGCCACUAAACCCCUCUUGUCUAUUGGCAACCAUACACACAAAGUGUACAAGAUGGGCAUCUUGACUUGAGUAUGUUCCUGUCUGCAAGCAGGACUUGUCUGUGCAAGAGCUUGACACUCAAUCCUAAUAGCUUGUUAAUAAGACAUGAAAAAAAUAAUGAAGAUCUUGGCAAUUCGUUUCUGCUUCUUCUCUGCUUCCUUAAACUUUCUUAGUUAACCAUUUAAUAACACUAGUUAAUGUGCUCUCUAUAACUACCUGAAGGGUGGUUGUAGUGAUCUGGGGAUCAGCCUCUUCUCUUGUGUAACUGGU